rnacentral:lncRNA from 1 species
GAGAAAGGGGCUUAUUAUCGAUCCGAGUGAGGGAUCGAUGAGGCGUGUUAGAUCCAUAUGGUCCUUGGAUUGAAGGGGAGAUUGUUGGAGAUACAAUCCAAGUCCUACAUCGGAAGUUUGAUGGGACAACCAAUAAUAUAUAAAGGGUUAGGACCAAUCCACUAAUUGCCAAUUGGUUUUUAGUUGGAAGCCCAGAAUU